rnacentral:tRNA from 1 species
GCGGGUAUAGUUCAAUGGUAGAACCUCAGCCUUCCCAGCUGAUGGGGCGGGCUCGAUUCCCGCUACCCGCUCCA